rnacentral:rRNA from 1 species
GACGAACGCUGGCGGCGUGCUUAACACAUGCAAGUCGAACGGAAAGGCCUGCUUUCCCUUGUGGAUUGCGGGUACUCGAGUGGCGAACGGGUGAGUAACACGUGAGUGAUCUGCCCCCAACUUGGGUAUAAGCCUGGGAAACUGGGUCUAAUUCCCGAUAGGACUGCAGGGUGGUGCCUGUGGUGGAAAACGAUUUUCUAGUGGUUGGGGAUGAGCUCGCGGCCUAUCAGCUUGUUGGUGGGGUAAUGGCCUACCAAGGCGGCGACGGGUAGCCGGCCUGGGAGGGUGGACGGGCACAUGAGGACUGAGAUACGGCCCAGACUCCUACGGGAGGCAGCAGUGGGGAAUAUUGCACAAUGGGCGGAAGCCUGAUGCAGCGACGCCGCGUGGGGGAUGACGGCCUUCGGGUUGUAAACUCCUUUCGACCGCGAGGAAGCCACCUGGUUGGAAGGGUGGUGACGGUAGUGGUAGAAGAAGCACCGGCUAACUACGU